rnacentral:rRNA from 1 species
GAACGGGGUGAGUAACACGUAUCCAACCUACCCUUAAGUUGGGGAUAACUAGUCGAAAGAUUAGCUAAUACCGAAUAAUAACAUCAAUAUCGCAUGAGAAGAUGUAGAAAGUCGCGUUUGCGACGCUUUUGGAUGGGGGGGUGCGACGUAUCAGAUAGUUGGUGAGGUAAUGGCUCACCAAGUCAAUGACGCGUAGCUGUACUGAGAGGUAGAACAGCCACAAUGGGGACUGAGACACGGCCCAUACUCCUACGGGAGGCAGCAGUAGGGUAAUUUUUUCACAAUGGGCGCAAGCCUUAUGAAGCAAUGCCGCGUGAACGAUGAAGGUCUUAUAGAUUGUAAAGUUCUUUUAUAUGGGAAGAAACGCUAAGAUAGGAAAUGAUUUUAGUUUGACUGUACCAUUUGAAUAAGUAUCGGCUAACUAUGUGCCAGCAGCCGCGGUAAAU